ensembl:snoRNA SNORD24 Small nucleolar RNA SNORD24
UGCAGAUGAUGUGAAGGAAUAGUUGCUGUCCGAGUGGCGGUGAGGACGACCCAAACCACCAAGAUCGCUGAUGCA